GUCUCAGCCAGCGCAGUUAUAUCAGGUGCCGUGCCGGAAGCUGUUUCGCUAUUGGCGAUAACUGUAUGAAGAUGGAACAGGAGAGUAUGGCAUAUUACACUCGCUGUUUACAAGAGCUUCCCCAGAUUAAUGUGAAUUACAUUAAUAGUUUUGGAAGGCAGUCAGCUAUUACACCCAACACUAAGAAGAAGAAGGGCUUCAAAUUAUAUAAUUCAAGUUACACAGACAAAGUUGAGGAAUCCUAAAGUCCUCUGAUCUCACCUUGGAAAUUUAAUUGAGGCCACACCUUUUCACUGCAGCCUAGUUCCCUCUUCAAUAUCAGCCACUUGGGGGAAAAGAGGGAAGGGACACAGUGGUGGCCUUCAUUAGGAAGAAUAAUUACUGAAAGACCUUCAGCAGGGAGCGUGGCCCUCUGAAGCUGGCAACAAACUUGCUCCUCCCUCAGAAGAAGUGGUAUGACCUGUUUAAGAGGGUAUAUAUAGGCAAACGUUAAUAUCAAAAUGGCCAUACAAUGUAGUCUAUAGGUUGCUUGUCAAAUGAGACAGUGUUUUUAAUGUUACAGAUAGAUCAAUUUCAAGCAAGAUAUAAGAUGUGCAUCACAUCCAUGUCCCCCCAGACCUACCUGAGAGGGCCAGACCAAAGUGGGCACCCCAGAAACAGAUGCUUCCUCGAUCUCCAGGCAUCAUGGAGCCAGCCAAUAUUAAUCCCUUUGGGCCCAGUACAUUCAUCACACUUGCUCUCGAACCUAACCCCAUGUUCAGAGUGUUUGUAAUCCCUAAACCCUCAGCCACCACCACUUCCCAGCCCAGAAGCACUUCACACUAUUAGGCAAUGUUCACAUAAACCCAGCAGUGUUCCUCCAGCUUCUGCCAUCCAACCACAUUUGCCAUGUCAACCACAUGCAUACAGUAUAUUAGAAGAAUGGAGGCCAAUACUUGCAAAAAACUGUGGUCACUACAGGACAGCAGAGACCGGACAUAGCCAAAACAAGGGCACUAUUUACUGUCAGAACACAGAGAUUCUAACAAAAGAAAAAGCAGUGGCUGGAGCAAAUAAAAAAGAAAUGUCA